UACAGAGGGUGCAAGCGUUAAUCGGAAUUACUGGGCGUAAAGCGUGCGUAGACGGUUAUUUAAGUCGGGUGUGAAAGCCCCGGGCUCAACCUGGGAAUUGCAUUCGAGACUGAAUAGCUAGGGUGCGGAAGAGGGAAGCGGAAUUUCCGGUGUAGCGGUGAAAUGCGUAGAUAUCGGCAGGAACACCCAGGGGGAAACCAGUCGACUGGGCAUCUACUGACGCUGAUGUGCGAGAGCGUGGGGAGCGAACCGG
rnacentral:rRNA from 1 species